rnacentral:rRNA from 1 species
ACGGGGUGCAGCAGGCGCGAAAACUCCGCAAUGCACGAAAGUGUGACGGGGCUACCCCGAGUGCCGUCCGCUGAGGAUGGCUUUUCCUUGGUGUAACUAGCCGGGGGAAUAAGGAGAGGGCAAGACUGGUGUCAGCCGCCGCGGUAAUACCAGCUCUCCGAGUGGUAGGGAUGAUUAUUGGGCUUAAAGCGUCCGUAGCCGGCUUAGCAAGUCUCCUGUUAAAUUCAGCGACCUAAUCGUUGAGCCGCGGGAGAUACUACUAGGCUAGGAGGCGGUAGAGGUCAACGGUACUUCCGGGGUG